GAUGAACGCUGGCGGCGUGCCUAAUACAUGCAAGUCGAGCGAACGGACGAGAAGCUUGCUUCUCUGAUGUUAGCGGCGGACGGGUGAGUAACACGUGGAUAACCUACCUAUCAUACUGGUAUAACUUCGGGAAACCGGCGCUAAUACCGGAUAAUAUUUUGAACCGCAUGGUUCAAAAGUGAAAGACGGUCUUGCUGUCACUUAUAGAUGGAUCCGCGCUGCAUUAGCUAGUUGGUAAGGUAACGGCUUACCGAGGCAACGAUGCAUAGCCGACCUGAGAGGGUGGUCGGCCGCACGGGAAGUGAGACAGGGUCCAGACUACUACGAGAGGCAGCAGUAGGGAAUCUUCCGCAAUGGGCGAAAGCCUGACGGAGCAACGCCGCGUGAGUGAUGAAGGUCUUCGGAUCGUAAAACUCUGUUAUUAGGGAAGAACAUAUGUGUAAGUAACUGUGCACAUCUUGACGGUACCUAAUCAGAAAGCCACGGCUAACUACGUG
rnacentral:rRNA from 1 species